AGGACGAACGCUGGCGGCGUGCUUAACACAUGCAAGUCGAGCGGAAAGGCCCUUCGGGGUACUCGAGCGGCGAACGGGUGAGUAACACGUGAGUAACCUGCCCCUAGCUCUGGGAUAGCUCCGGGAAACCGGGAUUAAUACCAGAUACGACCACUUUAGACAUCUGUCGUGGUGGAAAGGAUUCCGGCUAGGGAUGGGCUCGCGGCCUAUCAGCUUGUUGGUGGGGUAACGGCCUACCAAGGCGACGACGGGUAGCCGGCCUGAGAGGGCGACCGGCCGACACUGGGACUGAGACACGGCCCAGACUCCUACGGGAGGCAGCAGUGGGGAUAUUGCGCAAUGGGCGAAAGCCUGACGCAGCGACGCCGCGUGGGGAUGAAGGCCUUCGGGUUGUAAACCCCUUUCAGCAGGGACGAAGCGAAAGUGACGGUACCUGCAGAAGAAGCGCCGGCUAACUACGCGCCAGCAGCCGC
rnacentral:rRNA from 1 species